UUUCAUCCUCACUUUACCUCUGUGUGCAGUAAUAUUGCCCUGUCAUUCAUAAAACUUUAUGUCCAGAGGCUUUCCUCUCACCGAUGGAGCUGCAGAAACCUGUGGAGCUUAGGAGGAGCUUAUUGCAGGCACAGCCCUCACUUCCCAGAAACUCCUCCUCAGAUACAAAACUCCUUUCAAGGAUCUCAACUGUGAAAACCUCACCUGUAGUCUACCCCUCUCCAUCUCAUUUCUUAAUCUAGCAGCUGGUUUUAAAAUGAUUUUUCAUUUCCUGCAUCCAAAUGACUUACCUGAAUAAAAUGAAGAAGAUCAUAAAAAUACUGUUGGGC
rnacentral:lncRNA from 1 species